AGAAUUCCUCUGAUUAGCUGUAGCUUCUCAGAACGGGCUGCUGCGACCUGCUGUGCCUCCUGUUGCUCCGAAAUGAACUGAAAUUCUUCCCAUGAAGCAGGCUUUUUAAUAGAAGAGAUGUAUGUGGCCUGUUAGAGAUACAUGAGGAGGUUUACAGACGUCCAUGAAGGUCUGUGGAAGUCUAAAGAAGCCAUGAUGAUGCAUUUUGUGUUUCUCAGUCGUUCAGGCAACCACAAACUCAUGGCCAAUGUGGUUUCAUUUGUUGCGUGGUUAGAAGCCCAAGAAUGCCCAACACACCUCACAGCACAUCUGCACCACAGCUGAUACCUGGAGUGCUUCACAGGAAUAAUCACUACAUUAUUUGAAGAACUCUGAAAAAUGUGAAAAGACUUCCAAAAGGGCAUAGAAGAAUAACGUGAAGCCCAAGAAACCUAACAACAGAGACAAAAGACCCUCAAACUAUUUACUUUCUUGAAGAGAAAGUUCAGCGUUGGUUUAAUCAUAGUAUUUGUUUAGAAGAUUUCUAGUAGUAGAAGGUGAUGGAAAAGGAAGGUAAGCCAAAUAAUACCAGAAUAAAAAUAAGAACCGUGUGUCUUGCAGCAAGCAUAAUUAAUUCCUGGAAUCGUCUACUCAGGGAGCAGGUGGUUUCUGCUCCCAUUUUGGGUCUUCGUGAGUUUUGUGCAUAAAUGCUUGGAAAGAGGCAUACAGAGACCUGCCGAAAAACAUUACUGCAGUUUGUCCAAACAUUGGAAGUGCCAGCUUUCUUGGAUGAAGCAAGAAAAGCCCAAGAUUCAAUAGUAAGCCCAUGCUGUUAGCUACCAUACUCACAGAAGCAGGCUUGACACUAUUUUAAUAAAAAUAACUAUUAGACCGUGUUUCUUCAAAGUAGUUCGGAUUCUGUUGUCACUGUAUUUCUGCAGUGCAGAAUUCUUAAGGUAAGAGUCAAAAAGUCUUCACCUGCUUUAUCUCCAUAAGUAAUACCUACUCUGGGACAUUCAAAGCAUUGCCUGUGUCCUGACAGUGGCGCAGCACUAGAGCUUGUUGCUGCCUGCUUUGCUCAGUACAGCAAUGGAAGAAAGGCGAAUGUGGCAAAACAGACUGCUGGGUUCCAGCUCAAAAAGCCCAUUAUUGAGUUUGCAGGAGCCUUCUAACAGCAGUGACCCCACUUCUCUAGGACCAAGCAGGAUCCUAGUUGGUCUGAGUUUAGCAGCCAGCCCUCCCAUCACAAGGGGUACAGCCUCCUGUCCAACACAGCUCUGGUGCUAGCUGUAUGCAGAGACCCUUCUUCAGGAACCACACUGCAAUAGCCUACGGUCUGCCCACACCAGAGUGACUGUCAUCCACAACAUAGGCACCAGCGUGCAAAGGCAAGAACCUACAGAGAAGAGACCAGGAGGGCAGAAAGUAUAACAUAUUGAAGGCUGUUGAAAUCUCUAAGUUCAGGAAGCACAGAAGGUAUUAAAUGCCUCGUGUGAGGGGUGAGGGCAUAUUUAGUUCUUAGUGUCACUCAGGUUCACAUGGGAGCAGAACAACAGUGUCACCAGAUCUGCAUGGCUCAGCCUGUCUAGCACAGCGCACCCAGGACAGAGGCUGCCCAUGAGAAGGGCACAGCAUCACCACAGAUCAAAAAGCAGCUGGAAGGAAGGAGUCACAAUAACAAAUUAAAUGAGCUUGAGGAGGCCUUGCUACUGAGCAGCACUUAAAAAUCUUCAAAGAGAGAAUGAAGGGGACUGCAAGAAGUGAGAAGCAAAUAGCUGGUUCAGCAGUUGAUUCUCCAGAGGAUACUGCAGUAAAUUGUUAAUAGGCCUUUUACACUUUAAUACUUCAAUAUUUAGAUACUACUACCCUGCUUAUCUAUCUUGUCAGUUUUCUUUUUCAUUUUUUCAGUAAAAGCAUUACCC
ensembl:lncRNA